UUCAGUUGCCGACAUGCAGCUCUUUGUCCGCGCCCAGGAGCUACACACCCUCGAGGUGACCGUCCAGGAGACGGUCGCCCAGAUCAAGGCUCAUGUAGCCUUGCUGGAGGGCAUCGCUCCAGAGGAUCAGGUCAUGCUCCUGGCAGGCACGCCCCUGGAGGAUGAGGCUACCCUAGGUCAGUGUGGAGUGGAGGCUCUGACCACUCUGGAAGUAGCCGGCCGCAUGCUUGGAGGUAAAGUCCAUGGUUCCCUGGCCCAUGCUGGGAAAGUAAGAGGGCAGACUCCCAAGGUGGCUAAAAAGGAAAAAAAGAAGAAGACAGGCCGAGCCAAGCGACGGAUGCCGUACAACCGGUGCUUUGUCAACGUUGUGCCCACUUUUGGCAAGAAGAAGGGUCCCAAUGCCAACUCUUAAGUCCAUUGUAAUCCUGGCUCUCCCCAAUAAAGCCACUUAGUUCAAAAAAA